ACCUUUUAUUAUAUAUGUUUAUUCCACUUUUUAUUUAUAAAACAUGGUGAUUUUAUAUUUUAAUAUGGUUUGUGUAUGUGUGAGAAAGAGAUCCCACAAUAAUGUUCCUUUCUCAAAUGCUCUUUUCACUGAUGUAUUGAAUGUUUCAUAUUUGUGUCACUACGCCAAAAACUGGAAUAGACAGCGCCCCUUAGAGGGCGCUUUAUUACCAAAGCGCACUCUAAAGUGAAGAGAAAAAAUAAGGAGCAUACUAUUGGAAUAGACAGCGCACUAUAGAGGGCGCUUUUGUAACAAAGCGCACUCUAAAGUGAAGCGAAAAAAUAAUGAGGAAAUGGAGGGACACCAAUAGAGGACGUUUUAUUGAAAGCGCCAUCUAAGGGUAACCUUAGAGGGCGCUUUUAAAAAAGCGCUCUCUAUGUCCAUGUACAUUUCCAGUUUAUAAGGUGUUUUUGGAAAGCCUUAGAGAGCGCUUUCAGAAGCGCCCUCUUAGGCCCCCUUUAGAGGGCGGUUUUUUUACAAACCGCCCUCUAAAGUGAAGCGAAAAAAUAAUGAGGAAAUGGAGGGACACCAAUAGAGGACGCUUUAUUGAAAGCGCCCUCUAAGGGUAACCUUAGAGGGCGCUUUUAAAAAAGCGCUCUCUAUGUCCAUGUACAUUUCCAGUUUAUAAGGCGCUUUUGGAAAGCCGUAGAGAGCGCUUUUAGAAGCGCCCUCUUAGGCCCCCUUUAGAGGACGCUUUUGUAACAAAGCGCCCUCUAAAGUGAAGCCAAAAAAAAAAUAAUGAGGAAAUGGAGGGACAACAAUAGAGGGCGCUUUAGUGAAAGCGCCCUCUAAGGUUACCCUUAGAGGGCGCUUUUAAAAAAGCGCUCUCUAAGUCCAUGUACAUUUCCAGUUUAGAAGGCGCUUUUGGAAAGCCUUAGAGAGCGCUUCCAGAAGCGCCCUCCUAGGCCCCCUUUAGAGGGCGCUUUUUUUACAAAAGCGCCCUCUAAGGUCCCCUUUAGUAAACAUUAAAAUUAUAACAUAUACUGCAUGUCUCUUUAUUUUCCCUCUCUAUAAGCUAUUUCGUUUACGUAACUGGGUUUUCUCUCUACUGCGAUUACUCUCUACUGCGAUUACUCUCGUCCUCCGUUCGUUCUCCCUCCCUCACCGUCAUCGUCGCCGUCGCCCUUUUCUGCUGCUGCGUUCACGUUCACUGAGUUCACGUUCACCGUCACUGUUCACUUUCUUCUCCAUCGUUACCGUCACCUUGAAGAUAAAAUGGCUAACCAAGACGAUACCCAUGACGCGAAUGGAUCACGUAACAAUGUUGAAAAAGAAAUCAAACGAGGAUUGACUGUUAUGAAGUCAAUCAUUCGUGCAAGAGACAAGGGUGUAAAAUUUGAAGUACAUUGGAGUGCUGAAGACCAACUAAUUGAGCCUAACGGUUCAAUGUUGGCAAGUUACAUUGGUUUCCUUGUUCGAUAACAUAUUCCGAUUACAUGUGAUAAUUGGAGAAGUCCGGACUUGAAGGUUGGCAAAGAAAAAAUAUGGUCCGAGAUACAGAGAUCCUUUCACAUCGAUGAAAGCCGGCAAAAGUAUUGUAUUCAAUUGGCCGGAAAAAGACUCAGAGGAUUUCGAUCCUUUUUGUCCAACAAAUUUCUCAAGGAUGAGGAAGGAAAAUUUGUUGAAGCAGAACGGCCAAUGAAAUCCUUUUUAAUAUUGUAUCAAAAAAACUUCCUACAUUAAUAUAUGGCUUACAUCCUCUAUUUGAUG